UACGAAGGGGGCUAGCGUUGUUCGGAAUUACUGGGCGUAAAGGGCGCGUAGGCGGUCCCUCAAGUCAGGCGUGAAAGCCCCGGGCUCAACCUGGGAACCGCGCUUGAGACUGAUGGGCUAGAGUUCGGGAGAGGAUGGUGGAAUUCCCAGUGUAGAGGUGAAAUUCGUAGAUAUUGGGAAGAACACCGAUGGCGAAGGCAGCCAUCUGGACCGACACUGACGCUGAGGCGCGAAAGCGUGGGGAGCAAACGGG
rnacentral:rRNA from 1 species